rfam:Rattus norvegicus chromosome 19, whole genome shotgun sequence.
GGGGAUUUAGCUCAGUGGUAGAGCGCUUGCCUAGCAAGAGCAAAGCCCUGGGUUCGGUCCCCAGCUCUG